GGAUGCGAUCAUACCAGCACUAAAGCACCGGAUCCCAUCAGAACUCCGUAGUUAAGCGUGCCUGGGCGAGAGUAGUACUAGGAUGGGUGACCUCCUGGGAAGUCCUCGUGUUCCAUUCC
rnacentral:rRNA from 1 species